AUGGGCGUCAGGGGUAGGGAUGACAAUCAAAUGAUGAUGUUCCGAGAGUGCCUAGAUGAGUGUGGGCUAAUAGAUUUGGGGUAUAUUGGUCCUAAAUAUACAUGGUCCAAUAGGCAGGAGGAUGGGCGUAAUGUCAGGCUGAGACUUGACAGGGCAGUUGCAAAUGGUGAUUUCCUACAACUUUUUGAUGACUGCACUGUAGAGAACAUUAUUACAACAUCAUCUGAUCAUCUUGCCAUAUUAGUGAAGAUAGCAAAUAAAGGUAGACAAGGUGCUAUCAACCAUGUACUUCGAUCCUUUAAAUUCGAAGCUGCAUGGACGAGAGCACCUGAUUAUGUGCAAAUGAUCAACGAAAAUUGGGGAAAACUUAAGGAGGGCCCCCCUUCCCUGAACAAUACUUGGUCUGCUCUAAACAGAUUGUCAACAACCCUUCAAACUUGGACCAGAGAAUCUUUUGGUUCGGUAAAGAAGGAGAUAAAGAAGCUGGAAAAGAAAUUAGCUUCAUUACGAAGGAACAACAUGGCUAUUGGUUAUUCCAGAGAGGAAAAGGAAGUGGAGAAGAAACUUUAUGAGAUGUUUGAAAGAGAAGAAAUCAUGGCCAAGCAACGAUCAAUAAUUGAUUGGCUUCAUGAGGGUGAUCGAAAUACUUCUUUUUUCCAUGCACGCGCUUCUGCAAGAAGAAGAACCAACAAAAUUAAAGCCUUGAGGAGAGUUGAUGGAUCACUGUGUGAAGAUCCUGAGGGUAUCAGGAGUAUGGUACAUGACUUCUAUUCCAAUAUGUUCACCUCUGAACCCUGUGACUCUCUGGAAUUGGUCCUAGAGGCUAUACCAUGCAAGGUAACUGAGGAUAUGAAUGAAGAUCUGUGCAAGGAAUAUACUAAUGAAGAAAUUAGGACUGCAUUAUUCCAGAUGGGUCCAACCAAGGCACCAGGGCCAGAUGGUUUCCCAGCAUUAUUUUAUCAGAUUCAUUGGGAUGUUUUGGCAGAAGAUAUAUGUGCAGCAGUUAAAGGCUUCCUUUUGGGACAGGACAUUCCAGAAGGCUUCUGUGAUUCGCAAAAAGAAGCAUCUGGUCAGCUGAAGGGCAUCCGUAAUGGCAGAAAUGGACCGCCUAUUUCCCAUUUACUGUUCGCCGAUGAUAGUGUGUUCUUCACCAGGGGAGAUAAUAGAAGCACCAAUGCACUUAAAUCGGUACUGCAAAGCUACUGUGAGGGAUCAGGACAGAGGAUAAACCUUCAGAAAUCUUCUAUUUUCUUUGGUUUACACUGUGAUGUACAGAUCAAGGAUUUUGUGAAGCAAACUUUGGGGGUGUAA
rnacentral:rRNA from 1 species